rnacentral:rRNA from 1 species
AGAUUGAACGCUGGCGGCAGGCCUAACACAUGCAAGUCGAGCGGUAGAGAGGUGCUUGCACCUCUUGAGAGCGGCGGACGGGUGAGUAAUGCCUAGGAAUCUGCCUAGUGGUGGGGGAUAACGUUCGGAAACGGACGCUAAUACCGCAUACGUCCUACGGGAGAAAGCGGGGGACCUUCGGGCCUCGCGCCAUUAGAUGAGCCUAGGUCGGAUUAGCUAGUUGGUGAGGUAAUGGCUCACCAAAGGCGACGAUCCGUAACUGGUCUGAGAGGAUGAUCAGUCACACUGGAACUGAGACACGGU